rnacentral:rRNA from 1 species
GAUGAACGCUGGCGGCGUGCCUAAUACAUGCAAGUCGAGCGAACGGACGAGAAGCUUGCUUCUCUGAUGUUAGCGGCGGACGGGUGAGUAACACGUGGAUAACCUACCUAUAAGACUGGGAUAAUUUCGGGAAACCGGAGCUAAUACUGGAUAAUAUUUUGAACCGCAUGGUUCAAAAGUGAAAGACGGUCUUGCUGUCACUUAUAGAUGGAUCCGCGCUGCAUUAGUUAGUUGGUAAGGUAACGGCUUACCAAGGCAACGAUGCAUAGCCGACCUGAGAGGGUGAGCGGCCACACUGGAAGUGAGACACGGUCCAGACUCCGACGGGAGGCAGCAGUGGGGAAUCUUGGGCAAUGGGCGAAAGCCUGACGGAGCAACGCCGCGUGGGUGAUGAAGGUCUUCGGGUCGUAAAGCUCUGUUGUUGGGGAAGAACAGAUGUGUAAGUAACUGUGCACAUCUUGACGGUACCUAAUCAGAAAGCCACGGCUAACUACGUG